rnacentral:rRNA from 1 species
AAACGGAGGGUCCGAGCGUUAUCCGGAAUCAUUGGGUUUAAAGGGUCCGUAGGCGGGAAUCUAAGUCAGUGGUGAAAUCUUGCAGCUCAACUGUAAAAUUGCCAUUGAUACUGGAUUUCUUGAAUUAGUGUGAAGUGGUUAGAAUGUGUAGUGUAGCGGUGAAAUGCAUAGAUAUUACACAGAAUACCAAUUGCGAAGGCAGAUCACUAACACUAUAUUGACGCUAAGGGACGAAAGCGUGGGGAGCGAACAGGAUUAGAAACCCCAGUAGUCC